UACGAAGGGGGCUAGCGUUGCUCGGAAUCACUGGGCGUAAAGGGUGCGUAGGCGGGUUUUAAGUCAGGGUGAAAUCCUGGAGCUCAACUCCAGAACUGCCUUUGAUACUGAAGAUCUUGAGUCCGGGAGAGGUGAGUGGAACUGCGAGUGUAGAGGUGAAAUUCGUAGAUAUCGCAAGAACACCAGUGGCGAAGGCGGCUCACUGGCCCGGUACUGACGCUGAGGCACGAAAGCGUGGGGGAGCAAACAGG
rnacentral:rRNA from 1 species